GCUCAUCAUUUGACCAACAGGAAUAUGAUACAACAUUUACAGGAAACAUCAUCUGGCUGUUCUCCAAUGGAGGCAGAACUGUGUGUCAUGUGGCUCAGCGCAGCAACAAGCGGCUCAUUGUGACACUCCGGUCCAUUCACAGAAACAGCAUUCUGGGAGUCCACACUUCAACCCUGUUGGAGUUGGGGAGAAAUAGGUUGAAAAAGAAAGACAAAGAAAGAAAGAUAGAAAGAAAGAGAGAUAAAAAGACAGUAAUUUUUUUAGUUGGGCCAGAUAUUGAUCUGUUGGUGUACUGACCGAUCUCUCAACACAGAGGAAACCUUUAACAGGGAUUGACCUGAUCAGAGCAUUUAUCUCCAACUCACUGAACUCUCACACAGUCGUGUGUCUUAAGGAUUAUAGCAGGGCGUAAUUUAGGCUACUACAUUUGUAAUUACACACAUAUACACACACAUACACAUACACACACACACACACGGUGAUAUCAUGAUUCCCAACAAAUAUUUAAGAAUCUAUUAUAUUCUGUUGCAUAUAGAUAACAGACUAUGUUUCUGAUUAUAAUAACAUAGAAGCAAGGAGCCUUUAUUCUGUGGGCCAGACGGUUCUGUCUCUGCUUUCGUUGUGUUCCAUCAGAGUCCAGUUAAUAUGUCAUCCUGAGCAGGAGUAUAAUCACAGUGAAGUUGUGCUUUUAUGGUCUACAUAAACAGAUCUGGAGAGACGUAUGAAAAUGUAUCAUAAAAUACAGCUGACCCAAUAUCUAGAUGUGUUGUUAUAGUGACCACACAUACACGUAUGCAAACACACACACACACACGGCCCUGAUACAAAACCAGGCUUCCACUGGAUGCUUCUAACAUUGCCCGCUGUGAUGCAGUCUCCAUGGUGACGGUCGGUCGUUUCCUGGGUAACCCCAGCCACGGUUGCCAUGGCAGCGCUGUUUCCUGGGUUACGUUCCAGAUGGCCUGGGAGUCAGACAGAAGAUUGUCAUCUCUCCUCUCCUCUGGAGUCUGAACACCUCUUUACACAACACUCACGUACCCACAGAUGACACAGUCUUUGGUUAGCCUGUCAGUGAUACCAAACAAAGUGUUGCCAAGGUGUCCAGGGAGAAAGGGGCUGGCGUUUUCAGAACUGCUUUGGAGAGAACAGUGAAACUCUAUCGGAACGGUUUUCUGCUAACACCAGAUCUUAAAUAAAACAUUUAGUGAGAUGGAGCAAACUAAUAUCACGACAGAGGCUAAAGCUGUUCAACCAACCAUUAUCAUGACAGAGGCUAAAGAUGUUCAACCAACCAUUAUCAUGACAGAGGCUAAAGCUGUUCAACCAACCAAUAUCAUGACAGAGGCUAAAGCUGUUCAACCAACCAAUAUCAUGACAGAGGCUAAAGCUGUUCAACCAAUCAAUAUCAUGACAGAGGCACAAGCUGUUCAAACAACCAAUGUCAUGACAGAGGCUAAAGCUGUUCAACCAACCAUUAUCAUGACAGAGGCUAAAGCUGUUCAACCAACCAAUAUCAAUGCAGAGGCACAAGCUGUUCAACCAACUAAUAUUGUGACAGAAACUAAAGCUGUUCAAUCAACCAAUAUGAUCACAGAGUCUGAGGCUGUUAAACCAACCAAUAGGAUCACAGAGGCUAAAGCUGUUAAACCAACCAAACUCAUAACAGAGUCUGAGGCUGUUAAACCAACUAAUAUGAUCACAGGGUCUGAGGCUGUUCAACCAACCAAUAUGAUCACACAAUCUGAGUCUGUUCAACCAACCAAAAACAUCAGAGUCUGAGGCUGUUCAACCAACCCAGCAAAUGGAAAGGAGUUCAGAGGGAGUGCCCAAAUCAAGAAGUCACAUCACCCAGAUGCUCACAGACAGACAGACAGGCAGAGAGACAGACAGACAGAGACAGACAGACAGACAAACUGACAUCAUCCAUUUUCACUGUCUGUCUGUCUGUGGGUCCGGCUGGCAUUGUUCUGACCCUGUUGAUGGGUUAGAACCAAGAUUCACUCUGACCACCUGACACUGCUCUUCAACUACCUAACAUACAUCCAACACGCACGAUGACCCCUGGUUGGGUGUGUUCACCUCCACUGAGGGUCUGACUUUCCAGCCUAGGCCCCAGCCAGAUUUGGGGAGAUGGGACCAAAAUUAAGAAAACCCAAAGACUUUGAAUAUUUACUGGGAACUCUGACUCCUCCCAGGGGACGGUCAGCACCAGAACUCUGACUCCUCCCAGGGGACGGUCAGCACCAGAACUCUGACUCCUCCCAGGGGUCUCUCAGCACCAGAACUCUACAGGACGUCACCAGAAAAGGAGCGAAGUUUGAGCCAUAAGAUUCAGCCAUAACACCCUGGAGUCAACACAACAUGAAUUAGGAUACAACCAGGAACCAACCAAGAAUGAACCAGGAACCAAUGAGCAACCGACUGGGUGUAAACUAAGAUCCAACCAGGAAAUAACCAAGAAGAAACCAGGAAUGGACAAAGAGAGACUGAAACAGUGUUAUCCACAGAAGCAGAACUCAUACAUUGGACAGUCUAAUUCAGAGAAAGAUUCUGUCUGGUGGGAAGACUAGGUGGUAUGUUCUCCAUAUCUGAAUUCUGCUUCGUUUUGUGUCCUAUUUAUUCAACCUCUGUGCACCAAUCAGCCGUUAGUGAAAUCACCUGGUGGUGUUAACCAAUCGGGAACCGCAAUGUUUUGAAGAACUGUUAAACCACAAGCCUUCGUUAGUUGUGUACUUUCUUUGUAACUAACAUUUGACCACACACACACGCAUACAUCUGAACGGUGUGUGGUUUGCUGCAGUUACCUGACACACACACACACACACACACACAGAAGAGAGCUUAAUGACACUUCCUAUAAAUGGGAAUGCUUGGGGAGUGAUAAGUGGUGCUGAAUGGAGCUGUGUUGAGUUGGUAGUGUUGAGUGAAAAUGUGCUGACUGAAAAACAUGUUGAGUUGGGAGUGUUGAGUGAAAAUAUGUUGAGUGGAUCUGUGUAGAGUGAAACCAUUUUGAGGUGGGAGUGUGGAGUGGAGUUGUGUUGAGUGAAGCCAUGUUGAGGUGGGAGUGUUGAGUGGGACCGUGUUCAGUUGGGAGUGUUGAGUGGGAGCGUGUCACGGUCUUUGUCAUAUUGGCAUAUUACAGUACUUGUUUUAUUGCGCUGUGCUGUCUACAACAUAAAUAUUGAAACCAA